GCAACGAGCGCAACCCUUGUGUUUAGUUGCAAACAGGUCAAGCUGUGCACUCUAGACAGACUGCCGUGGACAACACGGAGGAAGUGGGGAUGACGUCAAAUCAUCAUGCCCCUUAUGAUCUGGGCUACACACGUGCUACAAUGGCCGGUACAACGGGCAGCGAAGGAGCGAUCCGGAGCGAAUCCUAAAAAGCCGGUCCCAGUUCGGAUUGCAGGCUGAAACUCGCCUACAUGAGGUUGGAGUUGCUAGUAAUCGCGAAUCAGAAUGUCGCGGUGAAUGCGUUCCCGGGUCUU
rnacentral:rRNA from 1 species